GAUGAAGAACGUAGCGAAAUGCGAUACGUAAUGUGAAUUGCAGAAUUCAGUGAAUCAUCGAAUCUUUGAACGCAUAUUGCGCUCUCUGGUAUUCCGGAGAGCAUGCUUGUUUGAGUAUCAGUAAACACCUCAACUCCCUUUUCUUUUUUGAAAUCGGAGCUGGACUUGAGUGAUCCCAACGCUUUCUUCCAAGAAAGUGGCGGGUUGCUUGAAAUGCAGGUGCAGCUGAACUUUUCUCUGAGCUAUAAGCAUAUCUAUUUAGUCUGCCUAAAAAACAGAUUAUUACCUUUGCUGCAGCUAACAUAAAGGAGACUAGUUCUUGUGCUGACUGAUGCAGGAUUCACAGAGACAGCUUCGGCUGACUUUGUAAACUCGAUCUCAAAUCAAGUAAGACUACCCGCUGAACUUAAGCAUAUCAAUAAGCGGAGGA
rnacentral:misc_RNA from 1 species